UCUUGUACUAGUAAACAUCACUUGUGUUCAUGCCAUAUAUCAGCCAGAGCAUGUACUUGCAAUCUUGUACAGGGAAUGGAUACAGGGGAGAUGCCACUCUGCUCUCUCAAUUGUCCUGCUGUAAGCCUAUCUCUGUGAUGAGCAGUGGUUUUGACCCUGGAGGUUUUUGAGAAGAAACAGGGGUUUUGUUUAUCUUUUGUGGCAUUCCAGGCAAAUUACUGUCCCCUCACGGAUGUGUACAGGCGAAUCCUACUCUAAAGUGUGUUCCUGGAGCUUCUCUGUGAUCAGUCGUUGUUUUCUUGGUCCAUUGGUCAUUGUUGGGCAUAGAAACACCUGAUGUCAUCCAUCUUCUGGAAGGCUCUGAUGUGUUAAUGCCUACGCCUGGGAAUAGUUUGAAAUCAAGUAGUACUGCCUGUCAAUGGCUGCCUGCAGGCCAAAAUGUGUAGUGCCUUUACCUGUGGAACUGUACUCUAGCAGGGUUGAUGGAUGAAAAGUGAAAUGAAGUUCUACUGGACAUGAAUACGAUGUUAAGUGUUAGUGCUGUCUGGAAGAGUGAAAGUAACCGUGCUACUGGACAUGAGUGGUGAACUGCAAAGCUGGUAGUGUGAGUCUGAAACCUAUGAGUGAAGCUUUUUUCUUUCGAAAAGGGGAUAUCCCCGGCCUCUGCAUCAGAGCGAUGCAUACGGCCACCUUUAUUACCAAGCAAAACAGUUCGACAGAGGUCUCAAAGUCUCAAACAAAGAAGAACAAAAAGUGCUCACAAAGAGCUAAA